rnacentral:rRNA from 1 species
GACGAACGCUGGCGGCGUGCCUAAUACAUGCAAGUUGAGCGAUGAAGAUUGGUGCUUGCACCAAUUUGAAGAGCAGCGAACGGGUGAGUAACGCGUGGGGAAUCUGCCUUUGAGCGGGGGACAACAUUUGGAAACGAAUGCUAAUACCGCAUAAUAACUUUAAACAUAAGUUUUAAGUUUGAAAGAUGCAAUUGCAUCACUCAAAGAUGAUCCCGCGUUGUAUUAGCUAGUUGGUGAGGUAAAGGCUCACCAAGGCGAUGAUACAUAGCCGACCUGAGAGGGUGAUCGGCCACAUUGGGACUGAGACACGGCCCAAACUCCUACGGGAGGCAGCAGUAGGGAAUCUUCGGCAAUGGACGAAAGUCUGACCGAGCAACGCCGCGUGAGUGAAGAAGGUUUUCGGAUCGUAAAACUCUGUUGGUAGAGAAGAACGUUGGUGAGAGUGGAAAGCUCAUCAGGUGACGGUAACUACCCAGAAAGGGACGGCUAACUACGUG